rnacentral:lncRNA from 1 species
CCUCUCCCCCCACAGCCCCCGUGAGCACCAGCGGUGUCACCAGCAGUGUCACCAGCAGUGCCACCAGCUGUGUCACCAGCAGUGUCACCAGCAGCUCCAGAGGGACAGCAGCCCCUGGGAGCUCCGGUGAGAGCCAGCCUGGGGGGCACUGGGCAGCCUGGGAAUGGCCAUGGACGCCCUGGAUCCCCUACCUGGGGCUGCACUCAGGGGUGCAGGUGCCACCAUGAGCCCAGAGCCCCCCUGGCUGCUCCCCCCUCCCUGGGGGGGUUGUUGAGGGCUCCCCUUUUGUCCCCCAGUGCCAGGGGGGGUCAGGAGGUGACACAGGAGCUGCGUGCCAGCUCUGUGAUGGCUGGGGUGGUGGCAGUUGGGUGGCUGGAGCCAGAACUGAGUCACCCCUUUCUCCGUGGUGCUUGGAGGCUGGGCAUCAGUGUCAGUGGGGGGAAUAAUGGGGUGCCAGGGAAAUAACGGGGUGCCAGGGGGAAAAACAGGGUGCCAGGGUGAAUAAUGGAAUGCCAGGUGGGAAAACGAGGUGCCAGGGGGAAUAACGGGGUGCCAGGGGGAAUAACGGGGUGCCGGGGGAAUAACGGGGUGCCCAUCUCGCCCCGCAGAGCAGCGCCCCACCGAGCUGAGCCCUGCCGUGGUCGCUGUCCUCUCCCUGGCCGUGUGCGUGCUGCUGGCGGCGGUGGCCGCGCUGCUGGUGCGGCGGGCCCGGCGCGGGACCCCCCCGUUCCAGCACCUGGACGAGGUGCCCAUGAGCAAAGUGACCGAGGGGUCCCCUGUGCCCACCCCCAGUGCAGCUGAAUAAAGGAGCCGCUCCCGCCUCUGCCUUCCCGUCUGCCGUGUGCUCUGCAGCCCGCCCGGGAAACCCCCCGGUCCCGGGGAUGCUCCGGCCGCUUUCGGGGUGCCCCGGGCCGGGCUGGCGGCCGCGGGCUGUUCCCGGUGCCGGGGGUGCGGGUGCGGGGUGCGCGGGCUGUUCCCGGUGCGGCGGGGCGGGUACCGGGGAUGCGGCGGUGCCGCCGGGGUGCGGGGCCCGCGCAGCCCCCCCGGCGAGGUGCGAUGGGAGGGAGGGAGCGAGCGGCCAGGCACGCACGUCGCUUUCCUUCUGCUCCGCUGCACUCGGC